rnacentral:miRNA from 14 species
CUCCACUAUUGAGUGCUAUUAG